rnacentral:rRNA from 1 species
GGUUUCCGUAGGUGAACCUGCGGAAGGAUCAUUACUGUGAUUUAGUACUACACUGCGUGAGCGGAACGAAAACAAAAACACCUAAAAUGUGGAAUAUAGCAUAUAGUCGACAAGAGAAAUCUACGAAAAACAAACAAAACUUUCAACAACGGAUCUCUUGGUUCUCGCAUCGAUGAAGAGCGCAGCGAAAUGCGAUACCUAGUGUGAAUUGCAGCCAUCGUGAAUCAUCGAGUUCUUGAACGCACAUUGCGCCCCUCGGCAUUCCGGGGGGCAUGCCUGUUUGAGCGUCGUUUCCAUCUUGCGCGUGCGCAGAGUUGGGGGAGCGGAGCGGACGACGUGUAAAGAGCGUCGGAGCUGCGACUCGCCUGAAAGGGAGCGAAGCUGGCCGAGCGAACUAGACUUUUUUUCAGGGACGCUUGGCGGCCGAGAGCGAGUGUUGCGAGACAACAAAAAGCUCGACCUCAAAUCAGGUAGGAAUACCCGCUGAACUU